AGAGUUUGAUCAUGGCUCAGGAUGAACGCUAGCGGCAGGCCUAAUACAUGCAAGUCGAGGGGUAACAUGAGAGCUUGCUCUUGAUGACGACCGGCGCACGGGUGCGUAACGCGUAUGCAACCUACCCAUAACUGGGGGAUAGCCCGGAGAAAUCCGGAUUAAUACCCCAUAAUGCAGGGGUACAGCCUUGUACUAUUUGCUAAAGAUUUAUUGGUUAUGGAUGGGCAUGCGUCUGAUUAGUUAGUUGGUGAGGUAACGGCUCACCAAGACCACGAUCAGUAGGGGGUCUGAGAGGAUGAUCCCCCACACUGGCACUGAGAUACGGGCCAGACUCCUACGGGAGGCAGCAGUAGGGAAUAUUGGGCAAUGGGCGGAAGCCUGACCCAGCCAUGCCGCGUGAAGGAAGACGGCCUUCUGGGUUGUAAACUUCUUUUGUACAGGAAGAAAAAGGUCAUGCGUGGCCAAUUGACGGUACUGUACGAAUAAGCACCGGCUAACUCCGUGCCAGCAGCCGCGGUAAUACGGAGGGUGCAAGCGUUGUCCGGAUUUAUUGGGUUUAAAGGGUGCGUAGGCGGUACGCUAAGUCAGUGGUGAAAUCCCGCAGCUCAACUGCGGAACUGCCAUUGAUACUGGCGUACUUGAGUACAGACGAGGCAGGCGGAAUUUAUGGUAGCGGUGAAAUGCAUAGAUACCAUAAAGAACACCGAUAGCGAAGGCAGCUUGCUAGACUGUAACUGACGCUGAGGCACGAAAGCGUGGGGAGCGAACAGGAUUAGAUACCCUAGUAGUCC
rnacentral:rRNA from 1 species